UUUGUCCUAUCGAAACAAUUCUAAAAAUCAUUAUAUUUUCACACAACAUAGCCAACAUGUUGACAAACAAGUUUCAUUAGGAGACUAAGUGUAAAAUCCUUACAGAAAAAAAUAGAACAAAAAUGUCAAAUGUCUAUCUAAACAAGAGUUAGAACAGGGGUCCAAAUUUGAUCUCGUGUUCAGAUUUUAAUCUAGUUUUGAAAAAAAUAGAAGGUGGUCCAAACGAUGAGCAAUCUAUGUGAGAUUAGUGGUAUUGGAAACUUCUAAGUGUGCCUUACAAUUUCCUAGAAUGGCUCAAGUCCAAACUAGGUCAAUUAGGUGCUCUAAUAUCGAGAUCUCUAAGAGUGCGCGUGUCAGAAACUAAGAAAAAAUAGAACUCAAGCAUGCAUUAGAAAACGUCAAAGUCAUUCAAAUAAUGCAAAAACGGCAUGAAGAAAUUGCAUAGGACUUAGGAUCGGAUGCAAUGGAAAAUUUGGAUAACCAUUUAAUCCUAAGUCAGCAUGCAAAAUGUCAUAUGAUUUAAAUGACAUUAUGAAAUGAUUUGAAACCAAACAAGCUCAAUUGUGGAUUCAAUUUUACCAAAACAAAAUUCGGACCAAUGUAGGGCAAGUUAUCCUAUAUUUGGAUCUAAGCGAUUUUAAUCAAGUUAAUCACGUCCAAAAAUCCGAAAAAAAAAAUACAGGAUAUUCUCCACACAAUUAUGAGCAAUCUUCAUGGAAAAAAAAAAGUUCCUCUAGAACUCAACAUAGAAAUUAGUACAAAAAUGACAAAAUCAUAGAUCAACACAGAACAAACUGACCUAGGCUCAAAUCUGAGUGGACUUGACCUAGUUAAACACAUCCAAAAAUCUUGAAAAAAUUACAAGACAUGCAUAAGAUUAUUUGAAACAAAACUCAUGAGGCAAGAUUGUCCAGAAAUCAUCACAGAAGGCUACAUGAAAAUAGUAAAUUCUCAUUUUGGAACAAGAGCAUAACUAAAAAUCCACUUAAACUCCUGUAGAAUCGCUCAUCUUCGGAUGUGUUUUUGAGCAUCAAAAGACACUUGAUUGGGCAUGCGACCUAUUGAUUCAAAGCUUGCAAUGUUUUAUUUUAAAUGUCUAAGAGGCCUCGAGUUGAAAUGAGGUUGUUUAGGACCUCAUUUUGGCCAAAUCAUUGGAUCAGUCCUAUAGCUAUGAAAUUGUAAAUUCAAGUUAAAUCAACUACAAUCAUUCAAGUUCAUUCAAAAACACUCAUCCACAGCAAAUCAAUAUCUCAAGUCUCUAUCAAAACGCCCUCCCUAUGAGAGAGAACCUACAUAAAAGGAAAAUUAUUCAAGAUCCAUUAUGCCCGUUCUACCACUCUAGUAUCGAAACUACAGAGCGCCUUUUUUUCUUGUGUAAAUGGACAAGGAAAAUAUGGGAUGACUCGAGAUUUGAUGGGAUCAGACCCAGAAAUAGCAUAAAGCGAACAGAUCAGUGGGUCUUCGAAGCUUUUAGAGGAGAUCAGCUCUUACCUGCACGAGAGCUCACUGGUAUGCUUCUGUGGAACAUCUAGAAGGCGAGAAAUAGCUGGAUUUUUCGAGCAAAAUACCCCAGACCAGCAGAUCUACUGAUUUCGGCACAGGAACAACAGAUGUCUUUCAAUCGAGGAAAGUCAAAACAAAAAUUACGACAACUCACACGAGACAAACCUAAUCAGUGGAGACCUCCGGAAGGACGGGAUCUGAAGCUGAACGUUGAUGCGGCAUGGUGUUCAGGCGAGUUUUUGUGUUCUGUGGCUGGAGUAGUGCGUGAUUCGUCCGGAAGAGCUAUCGAAGGCUUCGCUUCCACGGCUAGGGUUUCUUCGUUGC
rnacentral:lncRNA from 1 species